GACGAACGUUGGCGGCGUGCUUAACACAUGCAAGUCGAACGGAAAGGCCCUGCUUUUGUGGGGUGCUCGAGUGGCGAACGGGUGAGUAACACGUGAGUAACCUGCCCUUGACUUUGGGAUAACUUCAGGAAACUGGGGCUAAUACCGGAUAGGAGCUCCUGCUGCAUGGUGGGGGUUGGAAAGUUUCGGCGGUUGGGGAUGGACUCGCGGCUUAUCAGCUUGUUGGUGGGGUAGUGGCUUACCAAGGCUUUGACGGGUAGCCGGCCUGAGAGGGUGACCGGCCACAUUGGGACUGAGAUACGGCCCAGACUCCUACGGGAGGCAGCAGUGGGGAAUAUUGCACAAUGGGCGGAAGCCUGAUGCAGCAACGCCGCGUGCGGGAUGACGGCCUUCGGGUUGUAAACCGCUUUCGCCUGUGACGAAGCGUGAGUGACGGUAAUGGGUAAAGAAGCACCGGCUAACUACGUGCCAGCAGCCGCGGUGAUACGUAGGGUGCGAGCGUUGUCCGGAUUUAUUGGGCGUAAAGGGCUCGUAGGUGGUUGAUCGCGUCGGAAGUGUAAUCUUGGGGCUUAACCCUGAGCGUGCUUUCGAUACGGGUUGACUUGAGGAAGGUAGGGGAGAAUGGAAUUCCUGGUGGAGCGGUGGAAUGCGCAGAUAUCAGGAGGAACACCAGUGGCGAAGGCGGUUCUCUGGGCCUUUCCUGACGCUGAGGAGCGAAAGCGUGGGGAGCGAACAGGCUUAGAUACCCUGGUAGUCCACGCUGUAAACGGUGGGUACUAGGUGUGGGGUCCAUUCCACGGGUUCCGUGCCGUAGCUAACGCUUUAAGUACCCCGCCUGGGGAGUACGGCCGCAAGGCUAAAACUCAGAGGAAUUGACGGGGCCCCGCACAAGCGGCGGAGCAUGCGGAUUAAUUCGAUGCAACGCGUAGAACCUUACCUGGGUUUGACAUGGAUCGGGAGUGCUCAGAGAUGGGUGUGCCUCUUUUGGGGUCGGUUCACAGGUGGUGCAUGCCUGUCGUCAGCUCGUGUCGUGAGAUGUUGGGUUAAGUCCCGCAACGAGCGCAACCCUUGUUCACUGUUGCCAGCACGUUAUGGUGGGGACUCAGUGGAGACCGCCGGGGUCAACUCGGAGGAAGGUGGGGAUGACGUCAAGUCAUCAUGCCCCUUAUGUCCAGGGCUUCACGCAUGCUACAAUGGCUGGUACAGAGAGUGGCGAGCCUGUGAGGGUGAGCGAAUCUCGGAAAGCCGGUCUCAGUUCGGAUUGGGGUCUGCAACUCGACCUCAUGAAGUCGGAGUCGCUAGUAAUCGCAGAUCAGCAACGCUGCGGUAAAUACGUUCCCGGGGCU
rnacentral:rRNA from 1 species